AUUGGGAUGAAUGGGUGCCAGAAAGCAGAGUACGCAAAUACAUGGACACCAAUUUGCAGAAACAAAGCGAACUUCAAAAGGCCAAUCAGGAGCAACAUGCAGAGGGCAAGAUGAGAGAGGCUGCUCCAGGGAAGAAGACGUCUGAUCUGCAACAGAAAAAUGUUGAAGUGAAAACAAAAAAGAACAAGCAGAAAACACCUGCAAAUGGAGAUGGUGGCAGUACCAGUGAGACACCCCAGCCUCCUAGGAAGAAGAGAGCCCGGGUAGAUCCCACCGUUGAAAAUGAAGAAACACUCAUGAGUUAAGUUAAAGUGAAGAUUCCUGAAGAGCUGAAACCAUGGCUUGUGGAUGACUGGGACUUGAUCACCAGACAAAAGCAGCUUUUUAAUCUUUCUGCCAAGAAGAAUGUGGAUUCCAUUUUGGAGGAUUAUGCAAAUUAUAAGAAAUCUCGAGGAAAUACAGAUAAUAAGGAGUAUGCUGUUAAUGAGGUUGUGGCAGGGAUAAAGGACUACUUCAAUGUAAUGUUAGACACUCAGCUCCUCUAUCAAUUUGAGACACCACAGUAUGCUGAAAUUCUUGCCGAUCAUCCGGAUGCACCCAUGUCCCAGGUGUAUGGAGCGCCACAUUUACUGAGAUUAUUUGUGUGAACUGGAGCGGUGUUGGCCUAUACACCUCUAGAUGAGAAAAGCCUUGCUUUAUUACUGAACUAUCUACACGAUUUCCUCAAAUACCUGGCGAAGAAUUCUGUAACUUUGUUCAGUGCCAGUGAUUAUGAAGUGGCUCCUCCCGAGUACCAUCGGAAAGCCGUGUGGGGGUGUGCUCUCUCUCACUGGUGCUUGGAUCUCUGUAAACAGUUUGGUUCCUAGUCCUCCUCUUGUACAAAUGAUGUACUUUGAAGAACGUUAAUGUAUAACAGAGUUGAUGUUUGUUUUCUGUUUGAUUUUAAACAGAGAAAAUAAAGGAGUAACUGCUCCUCUUUUUCUUUCUUUUUCUCAUUUCAAAGUUUCUACCAGUGUAUCAGUGAUGGACAACCGAGAGACAUGCUGUAGAGUGUUUGCCUUGUU